GACGAACGCUGGCGGCGUGCUUAACACAUGCAAGUCGAACGGAAAGGCCCUGCUUUUGUGGGGUGCUCGAGUGGCGAACGGGUGAGUAACACGUGAGUAACCUGCCCUUGACUUUGGGAUAACUUCAGGAAACUGGGGCUAAUACCGGAUAGGAGCUCCUGCUGCAUGGUGGGGGUUGGAAGGUUUAGGCGGUUGGGGAUGGACUCGCGGCUUAUCAGCUUGUUGGUGGGGUAGUGGAUUACCAAGGCUUCGACGGGUAGCCGGCCUGAGAGGGUGACCGGCCACAUUGGGACUGAGAUAAGGCCCAGACUCCUACGGGAGGCAGCAGUGGGGAAUAUUGCACAAUGGGCGGAAGCCUGAUGCAGCAACGCCGCGUGCGGGAUGACGGCAUUCGGGUUGUAAACCGCUUUCGCCUGUGACGAAGCGUGAGUGACGGUAAUGGGUAAAGAAGCACCGGCUAACUACGUG
rnacentral:rRNA from 1 species